rnacentral:snRNA from 1 species
AACCUUUCUCGGCCUUUUGGCUAAGAUCAAGUGUAGUAUCUGUUCUUAUCAAUUUAAUAUCGGAUAUGUAGGCCAUCAGCCGAUGCGAUAUUAACUCAAUUUUUUAAGGGGAAGGUCCAUUAGGGUAACUUGCUAUCCGGUCCUUCGCGCGUCGCCUAGGCGUUGCACUACAGCUAGGGGUGUCAAUGGAUAU